rnacentral:tmRNA from 2 species
GGGGAUGAUCGGUUUCGACAUUGCCUGCGCAAUUGUGAGAAGCGGGUCGAGGAUGCCGACUUAUCUCGUAAACGAUGUCGGCAAACUAUAAGUGCCGAUUCCAAGCGCACUGACUUCGCCCUCGCUGCCUAAGCGAGCGCACUAAGGAAGUCCGUCAGUCCGGGGAUGCUCUCUACCCGGGUCCUGGCGUUAUCUAGAGAGAUUGCUUCUCUGUUCCGUCCUGGGGCAGAGAGGGACUUUUACCAGGGCUGGGCUCGUCGGAUUAGGUGCCAGUGACAAAUUCCGGAGCCGAGUAGAACGCCUGCACUGGCUACACCCGUAGAAGGCACAUGACCACAGCAGUGGACCGGGGUUCAAUUCCCCGCAUCUCCACCA